ACAGGAAUAAAUUAUUUAUUUAUUAUUUAAUAAUAAUCUCUUGUUAUUUGUCUGUGGUACUCUGAAGUGAAGACCAUGAGGAUGCUCAAGAUGAACAUGCAUCUCAUAUUCUAGUUUGCAAAGCAGAGGCACGUAUAAAGACCAUCAAAAUGGAAUGGAGUGGAUAUUCUUUGUGAACUGAUGUGUGCUCUAGGUGUUUACUUGUAAUAAGGAUGCAUGAUUCACAUGCGAACUACGUCUUCAAUGAUUCAGUGAUACAUUUCUACGGGAUAGUUCAUGUUUCGUUUGUUAUUUAAUUAGUAUCUAGAUGGAUGUUAUAUAUGAUAAAGUAGGCUAAUUUGAACAUGGACAGAAUGAAACAAAUUUCAGUAUACCUAGGGAUCUCGCUAGAAAUAUUGUACUCAUGUAUAUAUUAGGCCUUGCACAGAGUGAUGCCUUGCCUACCACUGCAGCUCAAGAGGGAGCCAUGCCCAUUCUAUAGGGUAGAUCUCUUUUUAUUUCUGGCACCACUAGCACACUGUGGAAGGCCUUACCGGAUUAUAUUCUUCUGGGCGAUUAGUGUAUUGAUUUGUUGUUUUUCAAUAGGCAGAUAAACAUGGCUUUAACUGCAUCAACCAGAUCAUGUACAGCUAUGUCUGAUCCAUUUGCAAAUAGAUAGACGGGGCUGGUUGGGCAUAAGAGAUAAACUGUUCUUCGAUCUGGUCCUUAUAAGGAAAACCAUAUAGAAUUAGCUAGGACUGCGGCACUAGAGUCUAUCUGAAUUUCCAAGCCUCAUUACAUUUAAAUGAAUACUCCCCCAUUGCUAGCCUGGUCUCUGCAUUUGACCAUUAUAUGGUCCUCUUUGUAAGUCUCUUGGGUUCGGCUAUUGUUAGUGUAGUUAGAUAAUCCGCAACCCCUGGGCAUCUGGCCAAGCGCACGAUCACUCUACAAAGUUCAUUCGUCAUGCACCAUGGCAACACUGAGACCAUACAAGGAAGAUGCUGGACUGAAGAAACGUGUCAGCACUGUAUGCCAUCAACAUGGUUUCCUGAUGCCUCACAGGCCCAUAUGUACAUACAUGUCUCCUAUGUCCUAUGGAGAUAAAAAAUGAAAGAUCCAAGGGUCAUAAGUGCGUGAGUGCCUUACUGCCUCAAUGAGAAGGGUGACCCUUGCGACUUGCGAGAAGGUAGCUAGAGACGUAUUGUGACUUGAGAGUGCUCCAACUUUUAAAAUUUUGUGCUGCUCUUAUAUGCACACAUUUUCCAUGGAAGAUCAUACUUAACUUGCUCUGUACUAGAAACUCGAAUUGUUCUGUGUGUGCGAAAACGCACAGAACAAUGCGAAUACCGUCAGAAAAAUAAUUUUCUGACGGUGUACCGUCAGAAACAUACACACAGAAAUAGAGUGACGGAAACAUAGAAUUUUUCUGUGUGUUCACCGUCAGAAAUAAUUUUUCAGUGUGUCUUACACGCACAGAAAAAAGUGUUAGCUCAAAUUAAACUUAAAUUCCACAUGUGCUAAACCUCACAAAAAAAAAGAAAAACCCAUGUGGUCCCGACAGAAUUUAGAGGCGCAUUAUUUUCCUGUCAAGCUUGGUUGACGCACAAAAAAUUACUAUUUUUCUGUCGAUGUAAAGAGAGCACGGAUAGAAAAAAUAAAUAGCAAAUUGGAUAUAAUGAUUAUUUGGAAACAGUAGCAACAUCAUAGUCAAAUACGGGCUGUCCAUAUAACAAAUAAAUAGCAUGCAUAUAAAGAUCCAAAUGUUCAUCACAUUCAUUCAUAGCAUCUAGGCUAUAUGUAGAUGUCCAAAUGGUCCGGCAUCAUUACAUUCAAAAGCAUUACCAUCUCAUCUUAGCAAUUCAAGUUUCAGCUAAGAUGAAUAAAAUACCAACAUGCAUCAUUGAGUCGUAUUAUAGCUAAAACUAAAGC
rnacentral:lncRNA from 1 species